ensembl:lincRNA
AUAAAUAUAUAGUAAGUAUAUAAACCUAAAAUAUUAAUAUAGAUCAAGUAUAUAAAUGUGUAUACAAUAAAUAUAUGAACCUAAAAUAUGAAUAUAUAUAAAGUAGAUGAAUAUAACACAUAAACAAACUAUAAAUGUCUAGACAUUGACCAUGUACAAGUGUGCAGUGUGGACAGUGAAUGGAAAUGUGAGCAUGAAAUGUGUGUUGACGCCUCCCAUCUCCUGUGCACACACAAGACACAGCGACCUCCCUGUCUCCUGCACACACGACACCCAGGGACCUUCCCGUCUCCUGCACACACGACACCCAGGGACCUUCCCAUCUCCUGUGCACACACGACACACAGGGACCUCCCCAUCUCCUGCACACACGACACACAGGGACCUCCCCGUCUCCUGCCAACGACACCAGGACCUCCCGUCCUGCACACAGACACACAGGGACCUCCCCGUCUCCUGCACACACGACACACAGGGACCUCCCGCUCCUGCACACAACACGACGACCACCAGGGACCUCCCGUCUCCUCCGCGACCACACGACACACAGGGACCUCCCGUCUCCUGCGACACCACGACCCACAGGGGACCUCCCAUCUCCGUGACACACGGACACACAGUGACCUCCCAUCUCCUGCACACACCGACACAAGGGACUACCCGUCUCCUUGCACACACGACAACAGGGACCUCCCCUCCCGGUCUCCUGCACACACGACCACACAGGGACCUCCCCGUCUCCUGACACACUGACACACAGGACCUCCCAUCUCCUGCGCACACGAAGGAGACACCCAGGGACAGGACCUCCCUGUCUCUUGUAAGGCACACACGACACUCCAGGGAACCUCCGUCUCCUGAUGCGACACACGACACCAGGGUGACCUCCCCUGUUCCUCCUGCCGCACACACGACACACAGGGACCUCGCCCGUCUCCUGCGCACAGCACGACACACAGCGGACCUCCCGUCUCCUGCCACACACGACAACAGGGACCUCCUCAUUCUCCUGCGCACACAGACCACCCAGGACAGGCGACCUCCCCGUCUCCGGCUCACACACGACACCCAGGACCUCUCCAUCUCCUGCGCACACAAGACACCAGUAAGGGACCUCCCCCGCUCUCCUGAGCAUCACACGACAUCCAGCGACUCACCCAUUUCUCUUGCGCACACAAGACACCUAGGGGACAGGCGACCCUCCUGAGUCUCCUGAGCACACACGACACCCAGGGACCUCCCCGAUUGCUGCCACACACACACACAGGGACCCCGGUCCUCCUGCACACACGACACACCAGGACCUCCCGUCUCCUGCACACACGACACCCAGGGACUCCCGUUGCCCUGCAACACGCACAAUUAGGGACCUUCCACGUUCUCCUGCACACACGACACACAGCGACCUCCCCGUUCCUGCACACACGACACACAGGACCUCCCAUCUCCCUGCACACACGAACACAGGAGACCUCCGUCUUUCUGCACACACGACACACAGGACCUCCCGUUCCUCUGACACACGACACACGAGGGACCUCCCGUCUCUCCUGCCACAUACGACACACAGGGACCUCCCCGUCUCCUGCAACACACGAACACAGGGACCUCGCCGUCUCCUGCACACACGACACAAGGGACCUCCCAUCUCCCGCGCACACAAGACGCCCAGGGACCAGGGACUCCCUGUCUCCUGAGCACACACGACACCAGGGACUCCGUCUCCUGCCGCACAACAACGACCACCAGGACCUCCUCUCUCUGUGCACACCGACACCCAGGGACCUCCCGUCUCCUCACAACGACGACACAGGGACCUCCCGUCUCCUCCGCACACACGACAACAUGGGACCUCCCCGUCUCUCGCACACACGACACACAGGGACUCCGUCUCCCUUGCGACACACGACACACAGGGACCUCCCGUCUCCUGCACACACGCACACCAGUGACCUCCCCGUCUCCUGCACACACGACACACACGGCGACUCCCCGUCUCCUGCCACACACCGAACACAGGGACUCCCGUCUCCUCGCCACACGGACGACACACAGGACUCCCCGUCUCCUUGCACACACGACACACAGGGACCUCCCCA